UCUUCAUAUCCAGUCAGCACUCGCCUGCGUCUGAAGACUGGCAAUUUGUGCACCACCGCUUAGCAAACAGACUCACCAAAUGAAACCGUCGAUAUCUUCUUUUAACUAGCAAGCUGGUUUUAACAGUGUUACUUCUGGCCUUGAGUUGCCCGGUUUGAAUCUUGGCCGCGACGCAAAAACCUGCAGAAGACUUCCAAAUGAACUGGGAAGAUGAUCUAUCACAAACCAUGAGCCCUGAACCUACAACUAUGCUGACCGGAAGGUUACAGAAGAAGAUAGCGAGGAAGAAUAAGUAUAAAAGAAAGAAGGUAGAGAAUGAAUGGGAGGAUAAGAAAUAAAAGGAGACGACGGAGGAAAAGCACAUCGGGGUGAGGUGAAGGCAAGAGCACGGGUAAGAGAAUGAUGUGGAAGAAGACGGAGAAGUAAAAGAUAAUACGCAGAAUAUGACAAUGAGCUGGACAAGAGGAUAAGGAACAGAAGACGGGGGAUGGGGAAAGGAGAGGAAGAACGAGAGAGAAGGUGCAAUACGUCGGCCACAUUCCUGUACUGUAGAGACAAUCUUCAUUCCCCUAAAUAUCGACUUUCCCUGUGACUUCUGUCUGAAAGGGCAACGACCGCUUCGUACAAAACAUGUUAUGGAUUUUUUCUUUUUCCGCUUUAUGUACUGAGCCUGUCCUUCAUUUGACUACACUUGGUAAUAAUAGGGCAGUUGUUUUAUAAGCAUUACUCUGCCUCUCAGUCUAUCUCCUUUGAUCCCAGACACACAGUAUUCACCCCGAAGAGUGAGUAUUCUCGAGCUGCUUCUGGCAACAGUAGCCGGUACACAAGUGUUCAAGGGCCCUUCCAUUAAUACACAUGAGUGAUAGGAUGCGGAAAGGGCUAAAGGAGCAAUGUGUGACCCCAGGACGUGCAGCCGGCCAGGGACUGUGCCUCACUAGAAAACUGGGUGACGUCAGUUACUCCUGCUAAGGCCUAUCCAUACCACGUCCUCAUCGUAGUCCCCGGGCAACGUUCCCCGGAAGGGCAGAGUAUAGAAGGGCGAAAAGCGAUUUCCCGACGCUUUAAUUGGAACCCAGUGGCUAAGGGAGUAAACCCCGACAGAAAAUCCUAGGUCCUGAAACUUAGCGGGGGUUAGUCGCACGGCCAGUUCCCUUGCACUGUAAAAAAUCAAAUUGCUAAAAAAAGGCUCAACAGAUGAAACGGGCACGACUGAAGCGAGUUCUAAGGAAUAAAGAAAGUAAAUUAGUGAUAGGAGCCUGAAAUGUUAAGACUUUAUGGAAAGAUGACGUAAGGGAAGAUCUAAAGGAUUUAGGAAUUUAUAGUUGGAUAACUCGCCCACAGGACAGAAGUAGUUGGAAGGAAAUUGUUGAGCAGCCCAAAGUAUUCAAGAAAUGAAGCUGUCGAGCCUUAUGAAGAAGAGAUGGGAUGCGGAAGCAAGAGUCUCACACCCAUGUGGGAACUUAGUAUUGAAGCUGAAUGUACUUAGAAGUACAAAAAUGGGGCAAUCUGGUAGUUGAACUCAUAUCUUCCAAAUACACUAUAUAGUAUUUUUUUUACAAUAUUUGGCAAAUGCAGAAAUGCAUUUAUUUAGAAUUUAUUUGCCUUUG